GUGUGUAUCUGAUGGUGUAAAUAUAUGUGUAUAUGUUUGAGAGUGUGUUUUUAUGUUUUUAACAUUGUGUAUCUGUGUAUGUGUGUGUCCCUGACAUUGUAGACAUGGUAUGUUUGUGUCUGGCAGUGUGCAUAUUUGAGUAUUCUGGAACAGUGUAUGUGUAUGACAGUUUAUGUGUUGUGUGUGUGUCUCUAUGUGUGAGUGAAGGAGUCUGUAUAUAGG